UCUAACGUCCUCUAUUUUGGGAGAUAAGCAGAGGAAACUCAGCAUUUUUAAGCCGUAGCAGCGCUGCACAUGAGUGGACUGUUGCAGGCUAUGCCACAGGACUGCCCACCCUUUGACAGGUACUGCUGAUGAUACUCCUCAGCUCUGUAGAAUUUCUUAGCUGGUAGAAUCUCAGUCAUGAUCUUACUCUCCAUUUGUUUCUGGUGACGUUCCAUUGACUCCACCGCUAGUUUCUCCUGCUCAGGUGUGUAGAAGUAUAUCCCUGAUCUGUAUUGGGUUCCCACAUCUUUUCCCUGAUCACAUUUUUAAGUCAUUAGCCACGGUAAAAAAUAGUCAAGGGAUAAUUUCACUACAUAGAUAUGUUAUUAUAAUAAGUAUUGUUCUCUAUCUAAAGUCUUAAAACUUUAAAAAUUUAGCAACUUCAACGUAAAAAGUUUAAAUCUUUGGACCAAGUUAAGAGAAACCCAUAAUGUACCUGGCGAUUCAAGGUGGUGGGGUCAUGUCUAGACCAGAAGACAUCAAGCAGAGACUCAAAGUUGCACUCUUUGGGAUCAUACUGAACCCUGACAACCUCUGCAUGGUUCGUUGUGUUCGUGCAGACAUCCUCGUAUGAAGGAUUGUGGAGGAACCCUUGGGUGUAUCCAACCUCCGUAUGAGUCACACCGGAGACUCUCUGAAACGCCAGCUCCACGCCCCAGAAGCAUCCAGCGGCGAACUGUGCAAACUCAUUUCCCGGCGCCGGAACGUCAUUGUCGUUUCCCUGAGUGAUAGCAGAAAGAUUCAUCGCUAAGUUUUCUAGAGAGAUUAUUAGAGUUUAUGUAUAUUUUUUUGAGAAUGGAGUUUAUGUAUUUGCAUCUAGAUACACUCCAUACAUGACCUAUAUAUACCACCUGUAUAGCUAACCAUGGAGUGUAUAUACUUUGUGUUUCCGUCCAGAUACACGAUCUAUAAAUACCACAUGCCAUAGUUAUCAUUUAAGACGAUAUUAGAGUGUAUAUGCUAUGUAAUUCCAUCCAGAUACACUCCAUUCAUGAUCUAACUAUAGAUAUCACGUGCUAGAUACAGUUAAAAAGCAUUAGAGUGUAUAUCCUUUGUAUUUCCGGCCAGAUACACUGCAUACAUGAACUAUAAUUACCACCUGUAUUUUUUUUUUGAACUAGAACAACAGCUGUAUUGUUUUUUUUAUCUAGAAUAACACCUGUAUUGUUUUUUUUUGACCGAAAGACUAAUAACACCUGUAUUGUUAACAUUAAAAUGAACAUUGGAGUGUAUAUACUCUGUCUGUCCGUCCAGAUACACUACGAACUAUAACGAGAGAGGUGCAGCGAAACGGAACACGGGUCUUAGUAUUACUGUUCGUUGCGUUCGCGUUUUGGUAGCGAUCGCGAUUAGAAACGGCGAGUUUGAAUCGCUAUGGUAACUGAACUUGGAAAGUGACAAAGGUCCAGCGUAUGCUAAGUUGAACCAAGAAGUUUAGGUGGAAAUCUAACCAAUAUUGUUUAUAUCUCAACUGAUUAUUUAUUUGUCAUCCAAAUGGAAAAAAAAAUAGUAUGAAACAAAAUUUAAUAUGCAACUGAAUCGAUCAUGCACCAGUUUAAUGUAAUCGAAAUGAAAUUAAUUUUGUAAACCGAAAUUAAAUUGUUCAUAUGUAUAGAUAACUAGAGAAAACUUUAAAUAUAUUUUAUUAUCAUUUCUUACAAUAUAUUUAUCCAAAAUUACACACCACCAACAUUUUUGGUUUCUGCUUAGUCAUAACUCUUCAAGCCAAUUGAACCAAAACAACAAAAAUAUAUCAAACCAGGCCGAAUACUCACUUUAUUCACUCUCGUCGUACGCAUUUAAAUUAGAGAAUAUAUUUAUAUACUAUGUCUUAAAAAAAAGAAAAAAAAAAUAUAUAUAUAUAUAGGUGUUAGUUAGGUGGAAUUCGAACAGGACUUGGUGGCUGUAGGAGCACAUUUUAUAUUUAUCAAUAGCAUUUAAAUGGUGUAGAUACGAGUCUUACUGCACUCAGAGCAUGAGCAGCAGCGAACCUUGCAAUUUCCGAUUUCCAAUGUUUUUUUUUAUUAUUUUUUUUUUUCGUUUGAUUUAAAAAAAAAAAUAUAAACGAACUUAUCGCGGGCCGCCACGUGUCGUGGGGCCCGCAGAACAGUAACGAGACGGUAUCACUCCAGCGAACCUGCACGAGCCGGGCGUUGGGAUUGCAAAAUCCCGUGUCCAACUCUAUCUUAUCUUAUUAGUACGAUAUUGUCCACUUUGGGCCUUAGAAGCUGGCGCGGAUGGAUUUAUUGGUUUCUCUCCCAAAAGGCCUCAUACUAUUAGAGUUGGACUUCUCUUUAUAUAUUAGACUUUCCUUUGUCUAAUAUCCGAUGUGGGACUUAACUUGUUAUCUCACAUUCCCCCCCUCAAGCUAAGGAUCACAUAUAUCUCGUGUGUUUCCUUCGGCGAAUUAUCUUCGGUACCACCUUGUACCAGUAAUCGCAAGGCUUCCUUUGAGAAUAUUUCUCCCACUACAUAUCACAGGUUCCAUGAUCAUCUUGACUGUUUCUGCUGAACCUCCCUUAUUCUUACUUGAAGGGUAUUUUGGUUUUCUUGCAAAUCUUCGUCAACCUGGUGCUCUGAUACCAAUUGUUGGGAUUGCAAAAUCCCGUGUCCAACUCUAUCUUAUCUUAUUAGUACGAUAUUGUCCACUUUGGGCCUUAGAAGCUGGCCCGGAUGGAUUUACUUUUGGUUUCCUUCCCAAAAGGCCUCAUACUAUUAGAGUUGGACUUCUCUUUAUAUAUUAGACUUUCCUUUGUCUAAUAUCCGAUGUGGGACUUAACUUGUUAUCUCACACCGGGUUUAUUAAAAUUUGAUUAUUUUAAUAUUUUUUUGCCUCAAAAAUCGUGUGAACUCUAGUCUUGAUUCUUCAAUGCGGAUGGUCUCAAUUCAUUAAGGCUCUAACCUUCGACCACCCUAUUGCCGAGCUCUACGGCAUCAUCGUAACUGACAUUGAAGCUGUUGCUUUAUCCUUUGAUUUUGUUUCUUUUACUUGGAUCUCUCACGAGUCACGAGAGAAACAUAGAUGCGGAUUUAUUGGCUAAACAUGUUUUGUCUGCUGAGUUAGCCUUAGAGCACCAUUAACCUAGCACCCCAAGUGGGGUGCUUAUUUUAUUUUUAUUUUUUAGUUUUUUAUCUGAUUUUUUUUUUUUAAAAAAAAAUUAAAAACGAGCCAAUCACGGACCACCACGUGUUAGUGGGGCCCGCGAAACAGUACAAGAUCCAACAAAACCCGACACUUAAUCUGGCGUCUUUGGCGUCGCUGCUUCGUCUUUUGCUGUGGAGCCCACCCUUUAGCACUUCUCCAAGCGUCCCCGUUAAUCCUGCUCUUAAUGGCCUCACCAAACAAUGGUUAAAAACUUAAAAUAUUGAAUGAAUGAAAGUAAGUGUUUCAAAAGAAAAAUAGUGUAGAUAUACUUGGUUUUUUGUCAAAUAGAACAUAUGUGUUACUUAUUGUGAAUGAUUAAGAUUAAAAUCUACUAAGAUAGAAGAUAUUUUACUAAUUAAGAACGAUUGAAUAAUUAGAAAUCUUAUUCCUCAUCAAAUGAGCAGAGCUAUCGACAAAGUCAUUUGAAACCGCAUCCUAUCUCUGAACUACUCCACAACUCCAAGGCUGCACGGCUUACUCAGACGUUGGUAUCUUAUCCCCGGCAACUGAUAGCUAAGGCAUUAUCUUUCAUUGUUUGCUCUUUCCAUCUGUAAAUGACUAUAUUGUUUUAAAUUACUCAAUAAAUUUGAAAUUUCAAGAAAAUAGUUAGAAAGCUUAAAAAAAACAUACACAUUUUUAGGAAACAUACACUUUUGUGUUCGCAUUCAGUUUGAAGUUUUCAAAAAAGUUGUUAACAUUUCUACAUCUUAUUAUGCACUGAGAAAUACAAAUCAACAACACACACAAGCAAACAAACAAAAAAGGAUCAGUUGCAGCCUUGCAGGUGUAUCUACUAACUUAGGCUCUUCUUGAGCUAUCGGAGAAGGAACAGUUGCAAGUAAAUCUACUAACUCAGGUUCUUCUUUCAGCAUCAAAGGAUCCAUUUUGAUAGAUCAAUAUGUGAAAGAAAGGAUGGGACUAGUGAUUUUCUUAAAGUGUUGUAUUGUUGUUGAUGGUGAAGCAAAUGGCAAUAAGAAACCUUAUUCAGCAUAUUAUUUUUUCAUCCAUAAGAUUCGCUCAAAUCUAAACAAUCAAUAAUUCAACAACAUCAAUAGACAUCUUUAUAGUCUCUAACAUGAAACAAGAAAGUAACUUGUUACACUUAUUAGGGAUUUGGUUGAUGUUCAUAUUGUGCAACAAACAAGUCUCUAACAUCCUCUGUUUUGGGAGAGGAAACUCAGCAUUUUUAAGCCAUAGCAGCGCUGCACAUGAGUGGACUGUUACAGGCUAUGCCACUGCAGGACUGCCCACCCUUUGACAGGUACUGCUGAUGAUACUCCUCAGCUCUAUAGAAUUUCUUAGCUGGUAGAAUCUCAGUCAUGAUCUUACUCUCCAUUUGUUUCUGAUGACGUUCCAUUGACACCGCCGCUUGUUUCUCCUGCUCAGGUGUGUAGAAGUAUAUCCCUGAUCUGUAUUGGGUUCCCACAUCUUUUCCCUGAUAACAGUUCAAGUCAUUAGUCACGGUAAACUACAUGUAUAUCAUGUUAAUAUCACUUCACAUCAUCAAAUGUUACACAUUCGAUUUGGUAUUGCAAAUGAAUUGAAUAACUAGCAGAUUAAAAAAAAAAAUAAGCAUUGAUUUUUUGUGUGUUAUGUUUUCAGUUUUAAGUUUUUAAAAAAGUUGUAACAUUUCCACAUCUUUAUUAUGAAAAUCUUAGAAUUACAAAUCAACAACACAAAAAAAAAGUCUUAAAUCGUAUAAAGUACCUGGCGAUUCAAGGUGGUGGGGUCAUGUCUAGACCAGAAGACAUCAAGCAGAGACUCAAAAUUGCACUCUUUGGGAUCAUACUGAACCCUGACAACCUCUGCAUGGUUCGUUGUGUUCGUGCAGACAUCCUCGUAUGAAGGAUUGUGGAGGAACCCUUGGGUGUAUCCAACCUCCGUAUGAGUCACACCGGAGACUCUCUGAAACGCCAGCUCCACGCCCCAGAAGCAUCCAGCGGCGAACUGUGCAAACUCAUUUCCCGGCGCCGGAACGUCAUUAUCGUUUCCCUGAGUGAUAGAAGAAAGAUUCAUCGCUAAGUUUUCUAGAGAGAUUAUUAGAGUUUAUGUAUAUUUUUUUUAGAGAAUGGAGUUUAUGUAUUUGCAUCUAGAUACACUCCAUACAUGACCUAUAUAUACCACCUGUAUAGCUAACCAUGGAGUGUAUAUACUUUGUGUUUCCGUCCAGAUACACGAUCUAUAAAUACCACAUGCCAUAGUUAUCAUUAAUUAGAGUGUAUAUGCUAUGUAAUUCCAUCCAGAUACACUCCAUUCAUGAUCUAACUAUAUUUAUCACGUGCUAGAUAAAGUUGAAAAACGUUAGAGUGUAUAUCCUUUGUAUUUCCGGCCAGAUACACUGCAUACAAGAACUAUAAUUACCACCUGUAUUUUUUUUUUGGUAAAAAAACAACACCUGUAUUGUUUUUUUUUUCUAUCUAGAAUAACACAAGUAUUGCUACCAUUAAAAAGAACAUUGGCGUGUAUAUUCAAUGUCUGUCCGUCUAGAUACACUCCAUACAUGAACUAUAACGAGAGAGAUGCGUUUUGGUAGCGAUCGCGAUUAGCAACGGGGAGUUUGAAUCGCAAUGGUCACUGAACUUGGACAGUGAAAAGUUAAGGUCCAACAUGUGUAUGCUAUUCGCUAAACUGAACCAUAUAAAGUUGAACCAAGAAGUUUAGGUCGAAAUCUAACCAAUAUAUAUAUCUCAACUGAUUUUAUUAUUUUGAGAAGACAUAGGAAAAAUUCCAUUUCUCUUGUCACUAUGGAUUCCGUAGCUUCACCGUCAAUCAACAACGGUGAUUUCCUUGUUUUUUUUGCCAUGGAAACACAAAAAUAGGCUUUUCUAAAACCUAAAUCUUUCAUAUUUACGAACAUUUUAUUAAAAAAUAAAAAACUUAUUUUAUUAUUGUCAUCCAAAUGAAAAAAAAAAAUAGUGUGUCACAAAAUUUAAUAUGCAACUGAAUCGAUCAUGCACCUAGUUUAAUGUAACCGGAAUGAAUUAAUUGUAAACCGAAACUAAUUGUUUUUUUUUUGAGAACUCGAAAUUAAAUUGUUCAUAUCUAUAGAUAUUAAAUGAUAAAUUUGUUGACAAAAAAAUGAUAAAUUUAAAUAUACUUUAUAUUUGUUUCUUACAAUAUAUUUAUCGAAAAUCACAGACAGAAUCAAACCACCAAACAUUUUUGGUUUGUGCUUAGUCAUAACUCUUCAAACCAAUUGAACCAAAACAACAAAAAUAUAUCAAGCCAGAGAAUAUAUGUACACUAUGUCUUCAAAAAAAAGAAUACAUAUAUAUACACUCCUUCUAUGUAGACGCACAUUAUAUUUAUCACUAUAAAUAUUAUACGAAAACAAUAUUUUUGAAGUAUAUAAAUGGUGUAGAUAUAUUUUUUUUUGUUAAAUAUAAUAUGUGCUACUUAUUAUGAAUGCUUAGGAAUAAAAAAAAUAGAAGAUAUUUUAUUAAGUAUGAUUAAAUAGUUGGAAAUCUUAUUCCUGAACAAAUGAGCAGAGCUAUCGACAAAUUCAUUUGAAACCGCAUCCUAUCUCUGAACUACUCCACAACUCCACGGCUGCACUGCUUACUCAGACGUUGAUAUCUUAUCUAUGGCAAAUGAUAGCUAAAGCAUUAUGUUUCAUUUUUUGCUCUUUCCAUCUGUAAAUGACCAUAUUGUUUUAAGUUGCUCAAUAAAUUUGAAAUUUCAUGAAAAAUAGUUAGAAAGCUUAAAAAUAAAAACAUACACAUUUUUCGGAAACAUACACUUUUGUGUUCGCAUUCAGUUUGAAGUUUUAAAAAAUGUUGUUAAAAUUUCCACAUCUUAUUGUGAACUGAGAAUUACAAAUCAACAACACACACAUGCUAACAAACAAAGAAGGAUCAGUUGCAGGUAAAUAUACGUAGGUUCUUCUUGAGCUAUCAAAGAAUCCAUUUUGCUAGAUCACCAUGUGAAAGAAAGGAUCAGAUUGGUGAUGUUGCGUUGUAUUGUUUGUUGAUGAUGAAGCAAAUGGCAAUAAGAAACCUUAUUCAUCAUCAUAUUAUUUUUUCAUCCAUAAGAUUCACUCAAAUCUAAACAAUCAAUAAUUCAAUAGACAUUUAUAUAGUCUCUAACAUGAAACGAAAGUAACUUGUUACACUUAUUAAGGAUUUGGUUGAUGUUCAUAUAUAUUGUGUAACAAACUCGUCUCUAAACUCCUCUAUCUUGGGAGAGGAAACUCAGCAUUUUUAAGCCGUAGCAGCGCUGCACAUGAGUGGACUAUUACAGGCUAUGCCACAGGACUGUCCACCCUUUGACAGGUACUGCUGAUGAUACUCCUCAGCUCUGUAGAAUUUCUUAGCUGGUAGAAUCUCAGUCAUGAUCUUACUCUCCAUUUGUUGCUGGUGACGUUCCAUUGACUCUGCCGCUUGUUUCUCCUGCUCAGGUGUGUAGAAGUAUAUCCCUGAUCUGUAUUGGGUUCCCACAUCUUUUCCCUGAUAACAGUUCAAGUCAUUAGCCACG
rnacentral:lncRNA from 1 species